UUUGAGUGUAAAUAUAAGAUAAAAUUAGUAUUAGUUAUGUUCUUGAAAUUUAAAGAUUUUGGCGGUAUUUUAGUCUUUUCAGAGGAACCUGUUCUGUAAUUGAUAGUCCACGAUAAAUAUUACUUGUUUUAAUUAGUUUGUAUAUCGUCGUAGUUGAAUAUUUCAUUAGAAUUAAAAUAUUCAAGAUUUAAUAUAAUAAAUUAAAUCAGAUCAAGGUGCAAUUUAUAAAUAAGAAGAAAUGGGUUACAAUAAAUAUAUUUAUAUGAAUAAAUUAAUGAAAAAAAUUUUGAAGGUGGAUUUGAAAGUAAUAAAAUUGAUUUAAAUUUUAUGAUUAUAGCUCUAAAAUAUGU
rnacentral:rRNA from 1 species